UACGUAGGUGGCAAGCGUUGUCCGGAUUUACUGGGCGUAAAGGGCGCGUAGGCGGCCUUCUAAGUCGGACGUGAAAUCCCUCGGCUUAACCGAGGAACUGCGUCCGAGACUGAAAGGCUUGAAUCCGGGAGAGGGAUGUGGAAUUCCAGGUGUAGCGGUGAAAUGCGUAGAUAUCUGGAGGAACACCGGUGGCGAAGGCGGCAUCCUGGACCGGCAUUGACGCUGAGGCGCGAAAGCUAGGGGAGCAAACGGG
rnacentral:rRNA from 1 species